rnacentral:lncRNA from 1 species
CGCCGCCGAGCGGGGUCUGUGACCCCCGGCCGCCCGACGGCGGACCGAAAGACGGUCAAUGAAAAGUUGAAAGAAGAGAAGCUCGGUACGGUCGCUCCUGGAGAUAAUAGUGAAUAUUAAUUACCAGGCACUUUUCUAAGCGAUCUGUAUCUCUUCCUACGGGGGGGAAACCGAAGGACCUUGAAGUCCACCCCCUCCCCCCAGCAUCUUAAAGGUAGAGAUUAGUUAUAUUGCCCUCAAAUGUUCAGAAGAACAGAACCAUCUGGUUUUCAGCCGCCUUAUAACUAUUCUUGGAAAGCUACAUUGUAUAUAAAAUGGUACCGUAUACACUUGUCAACUACGUCUUGGCGUGUAGAGUGGUUAGAAGAAUGGGUCCUUGACCUUAGAAGUUGAGGUAAUGCAAACAAAAGAUAAUUAGCAGAAAGAAAAAUUUUAACAAGCAAGUGAAACAGGACUCAGGGCUUUCUUAAGUUAAAGUUAGUCAUUGUCCAGAAGGAUUCUUGGUGUUUUGUCUAGAGCUGGUUGGGAAGGACCUGAAUGGCCGCCAGCAGCAGGUGCCUCUUGGAGGAGAAACAAAAUGUAAGCAAGUGUGGGAAGAGGUAAGAUGUGGUUGAAGGAUGCUGACCAGACUGGGGAGUAAAUGGGAGCAAUAUUUAGAUGGCCAGCUCCAGAAAAAAAGACAAAUUUCACCAAAAAACUAUACAUUUCUGCGUUAUUGAUUUUUCCUCCAGGAGAGGGCAGAAUUGCGUGCUGUGAAUACUUAUGGACCAGAGACCUUUUGAAGCCAGAAGGAACACUGUCUCGAGUCUUUGUUGUUCCCAAGGCCGGCUGCCGAGAGAGACCGGAUUCGCGGGGCCAGGAAGCCAGGCGCUCUCCCAGCUAGCUCCCAGGUAUCCUCAACGUUCAAGAUUUUAUACGGUUUCCUUUUACGGGGGAAAUAAAACUUACACGCAAAAUGCUUUUAAAAUAAGAGAUCAGCCAAGAACUUCAUUGUGAUACAGACUUUGUCUAGGUGGAAUUCAGAGGAGGGAGGCAUCACCCAACCGGACCCCUUGUUAGGAAAACCAGUUCUGGAAGCCCCAUCGCUCAGCGACGGAGUCUCUGGUGGGACUUCCCACCCGAGGGCCAGAGCCUCUCCGCUUGAAGUGUGCAGUUUCCGUAUACAU